AUGGUUCAGGAUGAACCCGGGCGGCGUCCUUAACCCAUCCAAUUCGAAGGAAGCAAUUUGUCACGAUCCUUUCGGGGUGAUGAUUUUUAGUCUUAGUGGCGGACGGGUGAGUAACGCGUGGGUAACCUACCUUGUACAGGGGGACAACAGUUGGAAACGACUGUUAAUACCGCAUAAGCGCACGGUAUCGCAUGAUACAGUGUGAAAAGUUUUUUCGGUACGAGAUGGACCCGCGUCUGAUUAGCUAGUUGGUGAGGUAACGGCCCACCAAGGCGACGAUCAGUAUCCGACCUGAGAGGGUGACCGGCCACAUUGGGCCUGAUACUCGGCCCAAACUCAUACGGGAGGCAGCAGUGGGGAAUAUUGCCCAAUGGGAGAAAGCCUGAUGCAGCGACGCCGCGUGAGCGAAGAAGUAUUUCGGUAUGUAAAGCUCUAUCAGCAGGGAAGAUAAUGACGGUACCUGACUAAGAAGCACCGGCUAAAUACGUGCCAGCAGCCGCGGUAAUACGUAUGGUGCAAGCGUUAUCCGGAUUUACUGGGUGUAAAGGGAGCGUAGGCGGUUUUACAAGUCUGAUGUGAAAGCCCGGGGCUCAACUCCGGUAUUGCAUUGGAAACUGUAGAACUAGAGUGUCGGAGGGGUAAGUGGAAUUCCUAGUGUAGCGGUGAAAUGCGUAGAUAUUAGGAGGAACACCAGUGGCGAAGGCGGCUUACUGGACGAUUACUGACGCUGAGGCUCGAAAGCGUGGGGAGCAAACAGGAUUAAAUACCCUGGUAGUCCACGCCGUAAACGAUGAAUACUAGGUGUUGGCUUCCAUAUGGAGUCAGUGCCGCAGCUAACGCAAUAAGUAUUCCACCUGGGGAGUA
rnacentral:rRNA from 1 species